GGCUCCAUGGUCAAGCGGUUAAGACACCGCCCUUUCACGGCGGUUACAGGGGUUCAAAUCCCCUUGGAGUCA
rnacentral:tRNA from 1 species